AAAAAAAAGUUCAAAAAAUUUUAGAGUCUAGUAGAUUGCUCAUCCAAAAUUAUAUGCCAAAGUUGUAAAAGACAAUCACAGAAACUAGUAUAUUGAUGUAUGAUUCCUGUGUAUCAUAUAUCUGCAUGCUGCUGUUUUUGACUUCAAUUAACUGAUAUUUGAAUAUAGUUUGGCUCCUUUUCUGCUUGCUGCUUCUUGUAAGCAUGGUUUACCCAUGAAAAGAUUGCCAAAUAAGCAUCUUAAACAGUUUUAGGCCACAACAUGUGAUGGCCUCUUCAAUAGAUUGUUGUAUCAGCUGUUGUACAUCUUUAAUUUGAACUAACUGUUAUACAUCUUCAAUAGGUUGGCUUAUCAGCUGUUAUAUGUCUUUAGUGUGGAGUUUCUGUAAUAUACUUCUCACGCUUUUUCUAUUCAUUUUCUUUUCUUCCAUGUUUCAUUUAUUUUGAAGGGUAAUAUCUUUUUUUUUCCCCCUCCAGGUUGAAAA
rnacentral:misc_RNA from 1 species